GACGAACGCUGGCGGCGUGCUUAACACAUGCAAGUCGAACGGAAAGGCCCUGCUUUUGUGGGGUGCUCGAGUGGCGAACGGGUGAGUAACACGUGAGUAACCUGCCCUUGACUUUGGGAUAACUUCAGGAAACUGGGGCUAAUACCGGAUAGGAGCUCCUGCUGCAUGGUGGGGGUUGGAAAGUUUCGGCGGUUGGGGAUGGACUCGCGGCUUAUCAGCUUGUUGGUGGGGUAGUGGCUUACCAAGGCUUUGACGGGUAGCCGGCCUGAGAGGGUGACCGGACAGCAUGGGACUGAAAGACGGGCCCGGCCCCCACGGGGGGGAGCAGUGGGGAAUUAUGCAACAUGGGCGGGAGGCUGGUGCCGGCAAGCCGCGGGCCGGAAGACGGGCUUUGGGGUGGAAACCGGCUUCGCCUGUGAAGGAGCGUUAGUUGCGGUAAUGGGGAAAGGAAGAACCGGUUACUUCGUG
rnacentral:rRNA from 1 species